CAGGGAGACAACAAAAUGUUUAAUAUUAAUUUUGUCACCUUAGGUCGAUCGGUACCUCACGUUCUUAAUUAGUUUAAGAAUUUUAUUUCCUAAGUUUUUUCUAGGUCACACCCAUUACUUUUCCUGAGCCAUUAGCUCAGGUGGUUAGAGCGCACCCCUGAUAAGGGUGAGGUCCCUGGUUCAAGUCCAGGAUGGCCCAUCUAUCUCUAUGUUGGGGGUAUAGCUCAGUUGGUAGAGCGCCUGCUUUGCAAGCAGGAUGUCAGCGGUUCGAGUCCGCUUACCUCCACUGAUCACAACCUCUUCCAUAUUGUAAGGAAAAGUUUGAACUGUGAUCUAAUCUGAACGAAUCUAGCUUCCUAAUGACUUUAUUAAGAUGCUGGACUCGUUGAAUUAAUUUCAUUGUUUUCAGAGAACCUUGACAACUGCAUAGAUUAUUUUUAAAGACAAUAAGCAUCUUUAAUGAUGCAGAUUUAUUAUUUGUGCGAAUGCAUUAAUAACAAUUCUAUUAAGCUGAUGCUUCAUUUUUGAAGUUAUU
rnacentral:tRNA from 1 species